rnacentral:rRNA from 1 species
CUUGACAUCCAGAGAACUUGGCAGAGAUGCCCGUGGUGCCUUCGGGAACUCUGAGACAGGUGCUGCAUGGCUGUCGUCAGCUCGUGUUGUGAAAUGUUGGGUUAACGUCCGCAACGAGCGCAACCCCUAUCCUUUGUUGCCAGCGAUUCGGUCGGGAACUCAAAGGAGACUGCCGGUGAUAAACCGGAGGAAGGUGGGGAUGACGUCAAGUCAUCAUGGCCCUUACGAGUAGGGCUACACACGUGCUACAAUGGCGCAUACAAAGAGAAGCGACCUCGCGAGAGCAAGCGGACCUCAUAAAGUGCGUCGUAGUCCGGAUCGGAGUCUGCAACUCGACUCCGUGAAGUCGGAAUCGCUAGUAAUCGUAGAUCAGAAUGCUACGGUGAAUACGUUCCCGGGCCUUGUACACACCGCCCGUCACACCAUGGGAGUGGGUUGCAAAAGAAGUAGAUAGCUUAACCUUCGGGAGGGCGUUUACCACUUUGUGAUUCAUGACUGGGGUGAAGUCGUAACAAGGUAAGCGUAGACGU